GAAAAUGAAGAACUAAAACGUUUAUUAUAAUUCAGGAACCACCUCCUUAGUUGGCUCAAUCUCCCUUGAGCCAACCUUUU
rnacentral:sRNA from 1 species